rnacentral:rRNA from 1 species
AGCGAACGCUGGCGGCAGGCUUAACACAUGCAAGUCGAACGGGCACUUCGGUGCUAGUGGCAGACGGGUGAGUAACACGUGGGAACGUACCUUUCGGUUCGGAAUAAUUCAGGGAAACUUGGACUAAUACCGGAUACGCCCUUUGGGGGAAAGAUUUAUCGCCGAUAGAUCGGCCCGCGUCUGAUUAGCUAGUUGGUGAGGUAAAGGCUCACCAAGGCGACGAUCAGUAGCUGGUCUGAGAGGAUGAUCAGCCACAUUGGGACUGAGACACGGCCCAAACUCCUACGGGAGGCAGCAGUGGGGAAUAUUGGACAAUGGGCGCAAGCCUGAUCCAGCCAUGCCGCGUGAGUGAUGAAGGCCUUAGGGUUGUAAAGCUCUUUUGUCCGGGAAGAUAAUGACUGUACCGGAAGAAUAAGCCCCGGCUAACUUCGUGCCAGCCGCCGCGGUAACAC